ACGUAUCCACGUAUCAACCAAUGAGAACCGUUUUCCCGUCUCCCUGUGCAAAGAAUGAAUUGGAACCAGUUUGAGGGGGUGAUGGGACCGAAAGGUCGACCUUCCUGGCAUACUUAUGUGAAUAGAAAUAUUUGCAUAGACAAUUGAAUUUUUGUGUAGGCUAUUCCUUAUCUCUUUGAUCCCCAUCAUGAUCGUGGAGGUAGGGAAACUUUCACUCUAUUUACCUUUUUUGCUAGUUGACUUUUUAUAUGUGUUGUUUUGCGAAAGCAAGGUGGCACACGUUUAUUAAUUGAACGUUAAAAAAUACAACUCUUAGCAAUGGAUAUCUUGGUUCU
rnacentral:misc_RNA from 1 species